GGGCCCGCACAAGCAGUGGAGUAUGUGGUUUAAUUCGAAGCAACGCGAAGAACCUUACCAGGGCUUGACAUCCCUUGACGACGGUAGAGAUACCGUUUCCCUUCGGGGCAAGGAGACAGGUGGUGCAUGGUUGUCGUCAGCUCGUGUCGUGAGAUGUUGGGUUAAGUCCCGCAACGAGCGCAACCCCUACUGCCAGUUGCCAGCAUUUAGUUGGGCACUCUGGCGGGACUGCCGUUGACAAAACGGAGGAAGGUGGGGAUGAUGUCAAAUCAUCAUGCCCCUUAUGUCCUGGGCUACACACGUACUACAAUGGCCGCAACAGAGGGCUGCGACGCCGCGAGGCGAAGCGAAUCCCAAAAAGCGGUCUCAGUUCGAAUUGCAGGCUGAAACCCGCCUGCAUGAAGUCGGAAUUGCUAGUAAUGGCAGGUCAGCAUACUGCCGUGAAUACGUUCCCGGGCCUU
rnacentral:rRNA from 1 species